rnacentral:lncRNA from 1 species
CAGAGAAUCAAGCGGUUGCCUUCUGAGGGCUGAAGCGUAUAUCAGUACCAGAACCAGCUGGGGACUUUUCUCAGAUCUUCACUGUGAGAACCUGCUAGAGUCCUUGGAGAUAAAACUCACGAAAGUGUAAAGAUAGCUCUAUGGCAAGGUCUUCUUGGAGUUUUUAAUUCUCAGACUUAACCACAUUCAGCUUCCAGCAAUUCAUCAAUUAGAGUUCAGGUUUUCCUAACCUUGUUCUGGUUCCUGCAGAGGCACAAAGAUUACUGCUUGUGAGUUUCUGCUCUGGAAUGGAUGUUUUCUUUUAAAAAUGGUUUAUUGAAGUAUCAUGUACCUAUCUUAAGUGUACAGCACGAUGAUGUGUAUGCCCAUGUAACCAUCACCUAGAAGGAUGAGAACCACAAGCAUGAGAACAUGAGGAUAAAUACACUUUGGGGAAAAAGAAAACAGACAGAGGCAGCAGAGAAGGAAGACGAGAAGAAGAGAAAAAGAGAAGUAGGAAGAGGAUGAAUUCAUUUCGCUUAUCUGGCAAAUGUGUAAUCUGAGUAAUAGAGCAGUGACUAUGAACAGUUCCUUAACACCCUUGGCAUCCAGCUGAGUCAUUGAAUGUAGCCAGACAAAAACAGACACGUCACAGACAGUGGAGAAAGAGGAGAAGAAGGCCCCCUGACUUCUCAUCCAAAAAAUGGAGGCCUAACACAAAUGGAAAAUUGUCUUUAAAUUGCUGAAGAAUAAAAAAUACUUAAUGCUAUAUCCUAUGAAAAUAUCCUUUAAAUAUGAGGAUAAAAAUCAAGGUAAUCUUAGAAACAUGCCAAGCUAUGAGAAUUUUUAUUGCCUACAACCUACAUGACAACCAGUUCUAAAGGAACUCCUUCAGUCUGCAGGAAUCAUAGUGCAGGUCCAGGGAUGAACCUGAGAAGCAGUAAAGGAGUAUAUAUAAAAGACAACAUUUUCUUUCCUGAUGGAAUUGCUGUAAAACACUACCGACUCUUUAAAGAACAAUAACCCCACAGGCAGUUUUUAUACUGCAGGCAAAAGUAAAAAUUAUAAGAAUUGCACAAAGAAGGAUAUGGGGUAAAUGGAAUCAGUUAUACACUCUUGGUUUUCUCCUCACUGAGACUGAAGAGGAAAUUAAUGAAUUUUACAAUAUGUGAAGCCAGAAAAUUAACUUUCCCCUCAGGGCUUAGUUAUAAGGUAGCGCCCCCGUCCCCACCCCGUAGUAGAAGUUAGAGAAGGAUAUUAACAGCCUGUGCUCCUUCUGUGCUCCAUGAGCCUCAUCUAUACUCCCCAGUUUCACAUUCCUUAGAGCUCUGUGAAUUCUUGCUUACCU